rnacentral:rRNA from 1 species
GACGAACGCUGGCGGCGUGCUUAACACAUGCAAGUCGAACGGAAAGGCCCUGCUUGUGUGGGGUGCUCGAGUGGCGAACGGGUGAGUAACACGUGAGUAACCUGCCCUUGACUUUGGGAUAACUUCAGGAAACUGGGGCUAAUACCGGAUAGGAGCUCCUGCUGCAUGGUGGGGGUUGGAAAGUUUCGGCGGUUGGGGAUGGAUUCGCGGCUUAUCAGCUUGUUGGUGGGGUAGUGGCUUACCAAGGCUUUGACGGGUAGCCGGCAUGAGAGGGUGACCGGCCACAUUGGGACUAAGAUACGGCCCAGACUCCUACGGGAGGCAGCAGUGGGGAAUAUUGCACAAUGGGAGGAAGCCUGAUGCAGCAGCGCCGCGUGCGGGAUGACGGCCUUCGGGUUGUAAACCGCUUUCGCCUGUGACGAAGCGUGAGUGACGGUAAUGGGUAAAGAAGCACCGGCUAACUACGUG